rnacentral:tRNA from 72 species
CGGGGUGUGGCGCAGCUUGGUAGCGCAUCCGCUUUGGGAGCGGAGGGUCGCAGGUUCAAUUCCUGUCACCCCGACAA